rnacentral:RNase_MRP_RNA from 2 species
AGUAUUGGUUAAGGCUUGCUAUGGUUACGCACUGAUAUCCUGUCAAUCGACUCGAUAUUGUAGGCUCUUGUGUCUGUGAGGUUCUUAUGGUCGUAGGUGUGACAUCGUGACUAGGGAAAUUCCCCGGACUGAAAUGGCAGAAAGUGCCGCUCCGAAAGGAGUACUAACGGUCAUUGAUUCAAGGCGAAGAUAGGAUGAGUCUACGUUUUGGUGGCUGUGAAUUGGUCGUUAUCAAAGAUAUGCAGGCAACCUUCUGAUGACUUCGUUACGUCAGAGGGCGAACAGAAUGGGGCUUACUCUAACCAAUAC